rnacentral:lncRNA from 1 species
AAAUCCCGAUUUCGAUCAUCUUUGACGCCUCCUCCGUGCCGAGAUUCAGUCGCACCAUAUCUGGUUCUUGGUAAUGCCAUCUGUCCUUUUGCACCUCAUCCGCCGUCUCCAAUAAAAUAAAAACUUGUCUAAAGACUAGAUGCUGUAGGGUACGUCUUAAAAGUGCUCCUCCACUACGUCGUGCCUUACGUCAAGAGGUGGUCGUCAAAUACCAGAUGCUGUAGGGUACGUCUUAUAAGUGCUCCUCCACUACGUCGUGCCUUACUUCAAGAGGUGGUCGUGGCUUCGCUCCUGCGACCGAACCGAAUCUGUGUAAUCAAGUUUCAUGCUCGAGCUCUAGGAGAAUGGUGAUCCCGUGGAAAAGGAAAAUUGACAAGGAAGAUAUGAAGUCAACGGCAAAAUUACUCUUCAUUCGUUGUAUGGACCUCAACUGGCUCUACCUGAGAACAUAACGA